rnacentral:rRNA from 1 species
CUUGCCCGGGGACUACGAGCCCCAGCUUAAAACCCAAAGGACUUGGCGGUGCUUUAGACCCCCCUAGAGGAGCCUGUUCUAGAACCGAUAACCCCCGUUAAACCUCACCCUCUCUUGUUUUACCCGCCUAUAUACCGCCGUCGUCAGCUCACCCUAUGAAGGACAAACAGUGAGCAAAAUUGGCAACACCCAAAACGCCAGGUCGAGGUGUAGCGUACGAGAGGGGAAGAAAUGGGCUACAUUCACUGACCCAGUGAAACACGGAAGAUAGCUUGAAACAACCAUCUGAAGGAGGAUUUAGCAGUAAGGCGGGAAAUAGAGUGUCCCCCUGAAACCGGCCCUGAAGCGCGCACACACCGCCCGUCACUCUCCCCGAAAACCCGAAAACACCUAAAUAAAGAGAGAACAAAAGAAAGGGGAGGCAAGUCGUAACAUGGUAAGUGUACCGGAAGGUGUACUUGGAUAAAU